CCGCAGCACAAGUGGUGUCAUUAUUAUUGGGCCUAAAGCGUCCGUAGCUGGCCUGUUAGAUGCCUGGGUAAAUCGAUGCGCUCAACGUAUCGAACUCCGGGUAGACCGGCAGGCUUGGGACCGGGAGAGGCGUGAGCUACUCGAGGGUAGGGGUAAAAAUCCUGUAAUCCUUCGGGGAGGACCAGUGGCGAAGGCGUCACGCUAGAACGGCUCCGACAGUGAGGGACGAAGCCCUGGGGCGCAAACCGGAUUAGAUACCCGGGUAGUCCAGGGUGUAAACGCUGCAGACUUGGUGUCGGUGAUCCUACGAGGGUUGCCGGUGCCGUAGAGAAGUUGUUUAGUCUGCCGCCUGGGGAGUACGGUCGCAAGACUG
rnacentral:rRNA from 1 species